UACAGAGGGUGCGAGCGUUAAUCGGAUUUACUGGGCGUAAAGGGCGCGUAGGCGGUCGUAUGAGUGUGAUGUGAAAGCCCCGGGCUCAACCUGGGAAGUGCAUCGCAAACGAUACGACUGGAGUAUAUGAGAGGGUGGCGGAAUUUCCGGUGUAGCGGUGAAAUGCGUAGAGAUCGGAAGGAACGUCAAUGGCGAAGGCAGCCACCUGGCAUAAUACUGACGCUGAGGCGCGAAAGCGUGGGGAGCGAACAGG
rnacentral:rRNA from 1 species